rnacentral:lncRNA from 1 species
AGAUUUUGUACCCCUGAAUCCUAAACUGUCAUGGAAAUAUUUAGAAUAGGUGAAAUUAGGUUUUUAAAUCAAAUUUUGGAAUACUGUCCUAAGGCAAUCUCCUUUGAAACUUGAAAUACUAACAAUCGAUUUGGAGAUUUUUAAUACAUGGAUUUCUGUUCCUUCCCUUUGAAUCUGGAUUCUGUGCCUGCUUUAGUCCUGGCAGUUUCUGGACCAGGUAGUUAGAAACUGGUAGUUCCUAAUUCCUGUCUCUUGGGAUACUCAGGGAAGGCCUGGAUUCCAAGACCAGAGUGGUGAUGACGGUCUUGAAGACUUCUUGGUGGGGAUGUAAGCACGUAAGAGGUGGUGAAAGCCAUCUACUACCGACCAGUAGGAUUCAGUAUGAUCCGAGGCUGGAAUAUGAUUUUAGGGGAGGAAUCUUGUCAUGUCUAGUACAGUCCCUCACACACAGUNNNNNNNNNNNNNNNNNNNNNNNNNNNNCCAUUCUUAAGCCCCUCUCCUUUCUCCUUGCAUGCGUUUGGCAACGAAGAUCAAGCCCACGAGCCAACCGUUUUCACACAGACCCCCAGCUCUACAGUGCAGGUUUUAUGAACCCGAAUUCCGGUUUACACCUGAUGUCAUUUCACGCUGAACUUCAAGCCACUAGCUGCGGGGCGUUUUCCAGGCUUUCACAUCCACAGCGGCAGUCCGGGUUUUCUAGGACGCAGUGCACCGCCCACACAGAAGCAGGGGCUCCCUCUUCUCUCUUUCCCCACUUUGCCCAGGAGGGAGCCAGCAGAGCCGCCCGCAGUGGCCUGGGCGCGCCGCGUGGGGACACCGCCCCCGAGAGCUCGGUUUCCGCACAGCGCAGCCGGCUCGGGGCGCGAGGCUGCGGGGGGGGCGCGCGCGGCCCGCGGGGGUCCGGCGGGG